UCUCUUUACCUCCAAGCUAAGCCAAUUCCUAAGCAAAUAACAAAAUAAAUGUGACAUAGCACUUCACAUGCGGUGGUUUGGCUAUUUAUCUCAUUCUCACACCUAAUUUCGUCUUAUUUAACCCUCAAAACUCCCAAUAUCUUACUCUUCAUACCAUACAAUCUUCACAUUAAAUAAACCCAGAAAUAUUACAAAGAUAGAAAAUUGCUAGAAUUUGCAUUUUUUAACUUGCCCAAAUUUAGUCAGACUCUAUGGCACAGAAAAGGUAGAAAAAAUUUUUAAAAUUAAAAGAACAAAGAAGGGAAAAAACAUCCUUGCCAUUCGGCCACUAAGCCAAGGACAUACCCUAAGCCCCUCCCUAAUCCACCUUCUACAAUU
rnacentral:misc_RNA from 1 species